rnacentral:lncRNA from 1 species
UUGAGGCAACACCAAGCUGAUGAGGAGGAGGAGGAGGAGGAUGAUGAUGAUCACCUUGGUCAUGUUUAGAGUAAUGGGCCUGAUUGUUGGAUACUGUAGCAAUGAAUAUUAUUUGGCUUGCCACAUAUUAUCUGCAAUCACUAUGCACAUUGGUUAUGACAUCAUAUUUUAUCUGAACAUUUUUAUGGAAAGUAGACACUUGUGUUGUUCUUCACUUUUCGAUUAGAUGGAUAUGGAAUGAGUGAUUACUUUUGUCAUACUUCAGUUGGACCUUGCAAAGAGAGAGCAUUAACAUUUGAAAACACCUCAUAUGGGUGUUGCUGAUUAAUAUAGGUAGAUUCAAAGCAAAUCAGCCAUACAAUACAUAUAGUUGUUGGCGAUAAAUUUUUGAACCAUCUUGGUAACUUAGAUGUGUCAUGAAUG